GACAAAACCAUUGCCAUGACAACAUAAUGAAGGCUGGAGAGUUGCUGGAGGAGGGAGUUUUGUGAACAAUGGGACAGCCUUGUUCAUUCUAAAAAAAGCAUUCCUGUUUUGGUGCAAGAAGUUUUGGCUGCAAACUCGGUUUUGACAAAGAUUUGUAUUGUAAACUCACUCAUUUACGGCCUUGAGAUGGUGCACCUGUAAAUCUAGUAGGCAUAAAAGGAUGCCUAAGAGAAGAUUCAUACUUUCAAGACUUGGAUGCUUCAGAACGAGUGCUUCUGGACCAAUGCCGGAAGCCAGACUGAAAGAAGGAAAAACAAGAAAGUAGACAACAGGAGUACAUAGGAGAAGACUGAAUAAUAGGGUCUUGGAGAACAGGAGAGGUGUGUGGAGACUCGAAUAGCCAAUGUCAAGGUCUUCAAAAUGGGAAAGAAGGAGGAUCCGGGAAACUAUGGGCCAGUCAGCCUCAUCUCUGUCCCUGGAAAAGUGCCAUCUCCAAGCAAUUGGUAAAGAAGAAGGUUAUCAGGAAUAGUCAGCAUGGAUUCACUAAGGGAAAAUCAUGCUUGAACAACAUUGUAGCCCUCUACAAUGGCAUCACCAGCUGGGUAGAUGUGGGGAGAGCAGUGGAUGCCAUCUACCUUGACUUCAGAAGGGCUUUUGAUACUGUGUCCCAUGACAUUCUGAUAAUGAAGCUGAGAAAGUGUGGUAUAGAUGAGUGGACAGUGAGGUGGGUUGAGAACGGGCUGACUGGCUAAGUUCAGAGGAUUGUGAUCAGUGGUACAGUCUGGUUGGAGACCUGUGACUAGCAGUGUUCCCCAGGGGUCAGUGCUGGGUCCGGUCUCGUUCAGUAUCUUCAUCGAUGACCUUGAUGAUGGGAGAGUGUCCACCCCUAGUUAGUAUGCCGAUGAUACAAAGCUGGGAGGAGUGGCUGACACACCUGAAGGCUGUGUUGCCAUUCAGCAAGAUCUGGACAGACUGGAGAGCUGGGCAGCAGAAAAUGAGAUGAGGUUUAACAAAAGCAAGUGCAGGGUCUUGCACCUGGAAAGGAAUAGUCAUAAGUAUCAGUACAGGCUGGGACAUGAACUGCUGGAGAGGAGAUCUGCAGAGAAGGACCUGGAGGUCCUGGUGGAUGACAGGUUGGUGAUGAGCCAGCGGUGUGCGCUGGUGGCCAAGAAGGCCAAUGGGAUUCUGGGGUGCAUUAAAAGGAGCAUGGCCAGCAGGUCAAGGGAGGUGAUCCUCCCCCUCUACUCUCUCUGCCCUGGUCAGGCCUCACCUGGAGUACUGUAUCCAGUUCUGGGCUCCCCAGUACAAAAAAGACAAGGAUCUCCUGGAGAGAGCCCAGUGGAGGGCCACAAAGAAGAUGAAGGGCCUGGAGCAUCUCUCUUAGGAGGAAAGGCUGAGUGAACUGGGUUCAGCCUUGAGAAAAGAAGACUCAGAGGUGAUCUUAUUAAUGUUUAUAAAUAUCUUAAGUGUGGGAGUCAAAGGGACAUGGCCAACCUCUUUUCAGUGAUCUCUGGGGACAGGACAAGGGCAAAUGGCCAUAAACUAGAGCACAGGAAGUUCUGCACCAAUUUGUGAAGGCACUUCUUCACAGUGAGAAUGAUGGAGCACUGAAACAGGCUGCCCAGGGAGGUUGUGGAUUCUCCUUCUCUGGAGAUAUUCAAGACGUGCCUGGAUGCCUACCUGUGCAGCUUUGUAUCUCUGCAGUUUUUUUUGGACUUGUUGAUCUCUGGAGGUUUCUUCCAACCACUGCAAUUCUGUGAUUCUGUGAUAUUUAAACACGAUUCACUUGAAAAAAAAAAAAACAAAAAACUUUAUUGUUUAUUUCUCCUCUUUUACUUAGCCAUUUUCUUUACAUCAAUUUUGAAGAAGCAUUAACACUCAUUUAUUUGUGUGCUUUUUUAAAAUCAAAAUAAAGAUGUUCAAAGGGUCUCUGCUGUCCUUUGCAAGUAGAAAGUAAAUGCAGAAACAAGAGGGAAGGUGCCUUAGCAACAGUCCCAGACUUCUUCCCUUUUGAAGCAUCAUCACAAUUACAAUCAUUAAUGUUGGUAAAAAAAGAUGAUAGUCUAGAUCUGAAAGAUAAUAAGGUUCUUUUAAACAAAGCACAAUGUGCUCCAUGCAGUAAUGGUAAAUACAAAUCAUAAACAAAUGGCAUUUUGCAUUAUGGUAGGCACUAAGGAAUUUCUCCCUGACCAGCAAGAAUUAACAGUAUUUUUCAUCUUUUAAAUAUAUUCUGUAAUUCAAGUUAUAAAGAAGAAUGUUAACUCUGUGCAAUAAAUGAAUUCAUAAUAAAACUCAACUCUUCUGUCCUUCUGUUGUGAUAGUUCAUGGGACAGCUUUUCUCUCUGUGCACUGAAAGAAUCUAAAACCUGUGGGAUAAAAACUGUAUACAAU
ensembl:lncRNA